AAGUCGUAACAAGGUCUCCGUAGGUGAACCUGCGGAGGGAUCAUUAACACGUUGUUUUCCAACGUUUUCCAACCACAACCAUACGUGAACUGAAUCUCUUCUCCCAAUCGCACGGCGAAUGCUCAACCGACAAGCUUAGGCUUUUUGUGCUGACACAGCGCUUGUGCUUUUUUGGGCUAUUUCUUCUUAAUUUAACCCCAUUUCACUUUUACUAUAAACUACUGUCAUGACAAUCAAAAGCUAUUACUAGCUUUUGUCUUGUUGAUAUCAAAAACUAAAAGCACAACUCUUAGCAACGGA
rnacentral:misc_RNA from 1 species